ensembl:lncRNA
UGGAGUCACUGAGAUGUGAAAAGGUGAAGAGCUGAAGAAGUAAGAAGUAGAGUUGCAUGAUUCAUUUCAAAGGAUCUACAAUUUUAUGGGCAAGGUCAUCUAAAAAAAUCAUACUCAGCAAGUCAUAUGACAUUUCAGCAGAUUCCCAAAAAAGUUGACAUUUAAAUUUUUGUGACUGGGAAGUGGAACUGACCCAUUCCUCUGGAUUGUCUUGAAAGCCUGAGGUAGAAAAUAUUACAGUGGCUCUUUCUUGACUCUGAAUCACAUCACAUCCCAUGAGUGAUUAAACCUUCUCUUUAAUCCACACACUGAGGAAUGACAGAUUGUUGAAGAGUCUACUAGUUAAUAAGGAAAGAAGAGAAGAGGCAAGGAAGAAAAGAACUGUGUGACUAAGCUUAAUGUAUUAUCAAGGGAUGCCGCAUCUUAAUUUUCACCUAACCAGUGUCUAAUUGAGCAAGUCUGUUUGGAUCCUCUCCAUAUCCAAGAAGGAUGGCAAAAUAAGCAUGAAUCGUGAGAUAUUUCUGUAUCUAAACCUGCCUUGCUGAAUUUUAUAUAUAAUAGUGCUUCCUGUGGGCAAGCAUUAUGUUGCUAUGCUGCCUCUUUCCAGAAAUAUAGGUAAGGAACGGUGCUUUUAUGAUUUCAUAUUGUCAAUAAAUUUGGCGGUUUCUG